rnacentral:lncRNA from 1 species
ACAUCAAGCUAAAUACGCACUAUGUGCCUUUUAAAAAAAAUGUGUAGACUCGUAACCAUUUUUGAAACGGUUUAAAGUACAGUCUAUGCUACUUAUUUCAGCUAGACUCAAAUGAUUUGAAAUAUCCAAAAUUUGUUUUUAAUUAUCACUCAUGUACCAUGUAACCUGGUGCAGAGAUGAUAAAAAUGAUAGAGUCAUCAAUGCAGUAUUACUUAGUGUGAAUUUGACAUAAAGUCACUAUUCCACUAUGGUAUAAUGUAGAAUUACAAAAUCACCAAAUGACGAAAUCCUCAACGGACUGUAAAUACAGUGCGGCAUCAUGACGUCAUUCUCAAAAAUGUUUUCAAAAAAAAAAA